GAAUGCUGACAUAAGUAACGAUAAAGCGGGUGAAAAGCCCGCUCGCCGGAAGACCAAGGGUUCCUGUCCAACGUUAAUCGGGGCAGGGUGAGUCGACCCCUAAGGCGAGGCCGAAAGGCGUAGUCGAUGGGAAACGGGUUAAUAUUCCCGUACUUGGUGUUACUGCGAAGGGGGGACGGAGAAGGCUAUGUUGGCCGGGCGACGGUUGUCCCGGUUUAAGCGUGUAGGUGUGUGUUCCAGGUAAAUCCGGUUCACUUUAACACUGAGGCGUGAUGACGAGGCACUACGGUGCUGAAGCAACAAAUGCCCUGCUUCCAGGAAAAGCCUCUAAGCAUCAGGUAACAUCAAAUCGUACCCCAAACCGACACAGGUG
rnacentral:rRNA from 1 species